UACAGAGGGUGCGAGCGUUGUCCGGAAUCACUGGGCGUAAAGAGCUCGUAGGCGGUUUGUCGCGUCGGCCGUGAAAUCUCCACGCUUAACGUGGAGCGUGCGGUCGAUACGGGCAGACUUGAGUUCGGUAGGGGAGACUGGAAUUCCUGGUGUAGCGGUGAAAUGCGCAGAUAUCAGGAGGAACACCGGUGGCGAAGGCGGGUCUCUGGGCCGUAACUGACGCUGAGGAGCGAAAGCAUGGGGAGCGAACAGG
rnacentral:rRNA from 1 species